UCCCGUGCUCCACCAGCGUCUGAAUGUAGUUUAUUUGCCUUGGAACAUCCCUUGAGAAUAUGUUUUGUGAGUUUAGGGUGGAGUGCAGAAGUAUAGGUGACACCUCUGAAGCUUUGCUUUUGGGUGUCCCGGAGCACGAGGGGAGGGAGGAAGCAGAUCUGAAUUCCCAUCUUGCGAGAAUCUUCUGCAGAUCCAGCUUGCAGCUAGCGUGAGCCUCCAGUUGGUAGAGAAUGGCUAGAGAACCCGGAGCGUGCGCAGCCCUAAACGCUCCAUCUGCAGAAGAGGGGACUGGGUUUCUAGUGGUGAAAGUGGAACCGGAAGAGGCCUCCCAGUUGGCAGAGGAGC
rnacentral:lncRNA from 1 species